ensembl:lncRNA
GUUUGGUCACCUGACCAAACUUAACCACAAGGAAUGCUGGGAAAUGUAGUGUAACUGGGCAGCCAUAUUUGCCCAGCUACAAUUCUAUUAUUAUGGAACAAAGGGAGAACAGAUUUGGUUGCUCACCAGCAGUCUUCUCCAUACCUUGCGUCAUGGAUAAGGCCCAGAAGUUCCUGCAUGCAUUUAAAGGGGUCUUUGACCGCAGCUGUUUGAGAUCCGUGGUUUGCCAUCAGGCACCAUAAGAAGGGAUGAAGUGACUUUCACAGCAGAGGAUAAGGGUGGAUCACCGACACCCAGAGAGGUCUAUAGAGUCAGUGAGAGCUGAGAUGAGGCCAGCCCAGCCAAAGAACACCAUUGUUCCUGACCAAGCUGAGAGAGACUAGACCACAGGUUAAACCAGCUGCCAAUGUCAACUGCAGAGGCCAGCCAGGUGGGCAGCAACAGGACCGCCAAGGAGCACCACAAAAAACAGAGGACACGACAUAGCUCUGAGGACCCACCACUCCACUGCCUUAAGCCCACAGUUCACACAUGACCAUAUGACAUGCCUCUGGGAGGAAGCAGGAUCCCAAUAACAAACCAAACUCAAGCACAAGAAUGGAGGCUGUGUUUAUAGGUGGCAAAACUACCAGACCAUGGCAUGGGACAUCUCAGACACCUCAGACAUCCUAAUGAAGCAUCACAAUUGAUUCAGCUGCAGCCCAUCUGUCAAAUGAACAGGCCAUAGUAAGACUAACUCCCAUGGUCCAUUUGCUUCUUCUAUAUUGACACAACCUCAGCUUCCUGUCUUUCCUGCAGAAACAGGCAUCUCUUUCCGAAUUUCUCCGUUGUUGUCAACAGCACCAUCAUCUUUGUAAUCCCUCAAGAUUAUAAGCUUAGGAUAAUUUAUUUCUAACUUAGUCCCCUCAAACCAAUCUAUCAUCAUGUUUUGCUUAUUGUUUUUUCAGAAUGUCUAGCAGCUCUGUUCCUUUCUGAAGAUGCCACUGUAAUUAAUAUAAACCUUAAUACGUCAUGUUUCUCAUACCAUCUUAUCUCUUCUGUCUUCAAGUCCUUGUCAAUAUAGCUGGUAGAAUACACUUUAAGACUUGCAUGGUUUCUCUCUAUAGCCAAAGAGUGUGUGUAACCUGCUCAAAUUAUUUAACAUGCAAGUCUGUAGUGCUAUGUGCCAGGGACUGUUCUGAGUGCUUUACAAGUAUUAACAACCAUCCGAGGUAGGUGUUAUUAUUGCCCCUGUUUUAUAAAUGAAGAAACUGAAAGAUAAAUAACUUGCCUAAGGUUAUAAAGCUUGUAAGUGUCAGAGCCAGAACUCAAAGGCACAGCAGUCUGGCUGCAGGGUCUGUGCACUUACUGUGAGGCACUUACUGAUAAUACCACACCACUACUACCACCUCUCAAUCAGUGUUGGUCAUCACCACCAUCAACCUUUACCACGAUCUCCCCCCAAACCCUCGACUCCAAUUAUCCCCAUUUCUGAGUUUCUGUGGGCAGAAUAGGAUGAGAAAAAUUCUGUAAAUGGUGAGAAAAUGGCUUGUUUGGUAGGUUUAAACAAGGAAAUCAUAGGAAAUAACGCUGAAAUGUGUGUAAGCAAUCUCUCUGUGAAGGAUCAGGCUAUAAUUAUAGGCUGAUCUGCUCAUGAAUGCC